rnacentral:rRNA from 1 species
GACGGAGGGCGCGAGCGUUGUUCGGAAUUACUGGGCGUAAAGCGCGCGCAGGCGGGUGGGGAAGUCGGGAGUGAAAGGCCGGGGCUCAACCCCGGAGCGGCUUCCGAUACUCUCUGCCUGGGGACCGGUAGAGGCCGGCGGAAUUCCCGGUGUAGCGGUGGAAUGCGUAGAGAUCGGGAAGAACACCCGUGGCGAAGGCGGCCGGCUGGGCCGGAUCCGACGCUGAGGCGCGAAAGCGUGGGGAGCAAACAGGAUUAGAUACCCCAGUAGUCC